UCUCAGGUAAUAUGAUCCUGACCAGAGGGAGAUGGGUUGGGGCAUCUAUUCUAGUCCCCACCUGCCAGAAUAGGUGUCAGGUGGCUCCUCACCACUCUACAUCAUUAGUGUGUACAAUGGACACAGCAUUAUCUGAACUUCCAUGGCUCUAUGUAAAGCAUUCCAUUGUAUUUUAAUAAUUACGCAAGACAAGGCCUCUUUCACAUAAGGCAAAUAAGUGUGAUUGAUUCAGACUUCUGGCAUUACUGGGCCAUGCUGCCGCAAGAAACAGGUGCAUGUGGAAUCAAGCCUGACGGAGUUAUUGGUGUGCAGAAAAAAAAAAAGGAUUACUACUUAUCUGGUUUUUAAAGAUGAGAGUGUUUUAUCUGAUGCCCUGACCAAAUGAAACAACAACCUAGACUGAAGCAGGGAACAUUCGCUGGACAUUUCAGGCACUGUGCUAGGCUCUACAGUGAAGCAUUCACAGUCUAGUGGUGUCUAUAAAUAAAACCAAAAUGCUAACUUUUAAAUUCCUAUGAGGAAUAUAUCCAGGAACCCAUGAGAUUCUUUGGUGCCUACAAAUUCUGAUCUCCUUUAAAGGUCAUGAAAACUGUGAGAACCCCAUUAGAGCUAAAUGAGUUUUAAGGGUCUGAUUUUUUCUCAUCUGUAAUAUGAGGAAAUUUGUUACCAGUGGCAAAUCUGUACACAUCUGCAGCAACCUCAAGUCUUGUCUCCUCAGAAGAAAGAAUUGAACUGAGGGGCAUAAGGCAGAAGGAGAGACUGAGGCAAGUAUUAUUUGUUUGUUUAUUUAUUUAUUUAUU
rnacentral:lncRNA from 1 species